rnacentral:rRNA from 1 species
GGUUAAGCGACUAAGCGUACACGGUGGAUGCCCUGGCAGUCAGAGGCGAUGAAGGACGUGCUAAUCUGCGAUAAGCGUCGGUAAGGUGAUAUGAACCGUUAUAACCGGCGAUUUCCGAAUGGGGAAACCCAGUGUGAUUCGACACACUAUCAUUAACUGAAUCCAUAGGUUAAUGAGGCGAACCGGGGGAACUGAAACAUCUAAGUACCCCGAGGAAAAGAAAUCAACCGAGAUUCCCCCAGUAGCGGCGAGCGAACGGGGAGGAGCCCAGAGCCUGAAUCAGUGUGUGUGUUAGUGGAAGCGUCUGGAAAGGCGCGCGAUACAGGGUGACAGCCCCGUACACAAAAAUGCACAUAUUGUGAGCUCGAUGAGUAGGGCGGGACACGUGGUAUCCUGUCUGAAUAUGGGGGGACCAUCCUCCAAGGCUAAAUACUCCUGACUGACCGAUAGUGAACCAGUACCGUGAGGGAAAGGCGAAAAGAACCCCGGCGAGGGGAGUGAAAAAGAACCUGAAACCGUGUACGUACAAGCAGUGGGAGCACGCUUAGGCGUGUGACUGCGUACCUUUUGUAUAAUGGGUCAGCGACUUAUAUUCUGUAGCAAGGUUAACCGAAUAGGGGAGCCGAAGGGAAACCGAGUCUUAACUGGGCGUUAAGUUGCAGGGUAUAGACCCGAAACCCGGUGAUCUAGCCAUGGGCAGGUUGAAGGUUGGGUAACACUAACUGGAGGACCGAACCGACUAAUGUUGAAAAAUUAGCGGAUGACUUGUGGCUGGGGGUGAAAGGCCAAUCAAACCGGGAGAUAGCUGGUUCUCCCCGAAAGCUAUUUAGGUAGCGCCUCGUGAAUUCAUCUCCGGGGGUAGAGCACUGUUUCGGCAAGGGGGUCAUCCCGACUUACCAACCCGAUGCAAACUGCGAAUACCGGAGAAUGUUAUCACGGGAGACACACGGCGGGUGCUAACGUCCGUCGUGAAGAGGGAAACAACCCAGACCGCCAGCUAAGGUCCCAAAGUCAUGGUUAAGUGGGAAACGAUGUGGGAAGGCCCAGACAGCCAGGAUGUUGGCUUAGAAGCAGCCAUCAUUUAAAGAAAGCGUAAUAGCUCACUGGUCGAGUCGGCCUGCGCGGAAGAUGUAACGGGGCUAAACCAUGCACCGAAGCUGCGGCAGCGACGCUGAUGCGUUGUUGGGUAGGGGAGCGUUCUGUAAGCCUGCGAAGGUGUGCUGUGAGGCAUGCUGGAGGUAUCAGAAGUGCGAAUGCUGACAUAAGUAACGAUAAAGCGGGUGAAAAGCCCGCUCGCCGGAAGACCAAGGGUUCCUGUCCAACGUUAAUCGGGGCAGGGUGAGUCGACCCCUAAGGCGAGGCCGAAAGGCGUAGUCGAUGGGAAACAGGUUAAUAUUCCUGUACUUGGUGUUACUGCGAAGGGGGGACGGAGAAGGCUAUGUUGGCCGGGCGACGGUUGUCCCGGUUUAAGCGUGUAGGCUGGUUUUCCAGGCAAAUCCGGAAAAUCAAGGCUGAGGCGUGAUGACGAGGCACUACGGUGCUGAAGCAACAAAUGCCCUGCUUCCAGGAAAAGCCUCUAAGCAUCAGGUAACAUCAAAUCGUACCCCAAACCGACACAGGUGGUCAGGUAGAGAAUACCAAGGCGCUUGAGAGAACUCGGGUGAAGGAACUAGGCAAAAUGGUGCCGUAACUUCGGGAGAAGGCACGCUGAUAUGUAGGUGAAG